AAACUGCGAAUGGCUCAUUAAAUCAGUUAUCGUUUAUUUGAUAGUACCUUACUACUUGGAUAACCGUGGUAAUUCUAGAGCUAAUACAUGCUAAAAACCCCGACUUACGAAGGGGUGUAUUUAUUAGAUAAAAAACCAAUGCCCUUCGGGGCCCCCUGGUGAUUCAUAAUAACUUAACGAAUCGCAUGGCCUUGCGCCGGCGAUGGUUCAUUCAAAUUUCUGCCCUAUCAACUUUCGAUGGUUGUGUAGUGGACAACCAUGGUAUCAACGGGUGACGGGGAAUUAGGGUUCUAUUCCGGAGAGGGAGCCUGAGAAACGGCUACCACAUCCAAGGAAGGCAGCAGGCGCGCAAAUUACCCAAUCCCGAUACGGGGAGGUAGUGACAAUAAAUACUGAUACAGGGCUCUUUUGGGUCUUGUAAUUGGAAUGAGUACAAUUUAAAUCCCUUAACGAGGAACAAUUGGAGGGCAAGUCUGGUGAACGGUUUGUUCCAGUGGUAUUAACUGCUGACGCCAGAGAAAGCGACGCGCCCAUAAUGAAAGUCGCUAGUCGAGUAUCCAUAAACCUGGUGAGGGGAUGCCGGCAAGGUAACCUGGUACGGGGAAGCUCUAAAAUAGAGUAGAGUCAAAUCUACGAGGGUAAUCCCGUGGCGAGCAUAUAGUAUGCCGUCGUAACGCGCGGAAAGGUACCGGUAUGUUCCUUGGAACAUGCUCAAGGGACGCGCUAUCCCCACCUUAACGGGUGCCUGUGAUAUCAGUAUCACCAUACGAAA
rnacentral:rRNA from 1 species